GAGGGUAUAGCUCAAGCGGCAGAGCACACGCUCAGCAUACACAUGGUUCUGGGUUCAAUCCCCAGUACCUCCU
rnacentral:tRNA from 1 species